UACGUAGGGUGCGAGCGUUAAUCGGAAUACUGGGCGUAAAGCGUGCGCAGGCGGCGCGAGAAGUCAGGCGUGAAAGCCCCGGGCUCAACCUGGGAAUUGCGCUUGAUACUCUUGUGCUGGAGUUCGGGAGAGGAGAGUGGAAUUCCCAGUGUAGAGGUGAAAUUCGUAGAUAUUGGGAAGAACACCGGUGGCGAAGACGGCUCUCUGGACCGAGACUGACGCUGAGGCGCGAAAGCGUGGGGAGCAAACAGG
rnacentral:rRNA from 1 species